rnacentral:rRNA from 1 species
UAGUCCACGCCGUAAACGAUGAUCACUAAGUGUUCGGCCUUCGGGCUGAGUGCUCAAGCGAAAGCGAUAAGUGAUCCACCUGGGGAGUACGUUCGCAAGAAUGAAACUCAAAGGAAUUGACGGGGGCCCGCACAAGCGGUGGAGCAUGUGGUUUAAUUCGAUGAUACGCGAGGAACCUUACCUGGGCUACAAUGCCUCUGCCAGGCCCCGAAAGGGGUUGUUCCUUCGGGACAGAGUGCAAGGUGCUGCAUGGUUGUAGUCAGCUCGUGCCGUGAGGUGUCAGGUUAAGUCCUAUAACGAGCGCAACCCCUACCGUUAGUUGCCAGCAUGUUAUGAUGGGGACUCUAGCGGGACUGCCGGUGCAAACCGAGAGGAAGGUGGGGAUGACGUCAAAUCAUCACGGCCCUUACGUCCUGGGCUACACACGUGCUACAAUGGUCAGUACAGAGGGCAGCCACUACGCGAGUAGGAGCGAAUCCUUAAAACUGAUCUCAGUUCGGAUCGG